UACGGGGGGGGCAAGCGUUGUUCGGAAUUACUGGGCGUAAAGGGCGCGUAGGCGGUUUGCUAAGUUGGAUGUGAAAACUCUGGGCUUAACCCAGAGCCUGCAUCCAAAACUGGCAAACUUGAGUACUGGAGGGGAAAGCGGAAUUCCUGGUAUAGCGGUGAAAUGCGUAGAUAUCAGGAAGAACACCGAUGGCGAAGGCGGCUUUCUGGACAGUAACUGACGCUGAGACGCGAAAGCUAGGGGAGCAAACGGG
rnacentral:rRNA from 1 species